ACGCUGACAGAAUGCUUAACACAUGCAAGUCGAUGGGGAAGUGGUGCUUGCACCAUGGUAACCAUGGCGGACGGGUGAGUAACGCGUAAGGAACUUACCUGCGGGACCGGGAUAACAGCAGGAAACUGCUGACAAGACCGGAUAAGGUCAUUAAGCCGCAUAGCUUAGUGAUGAAAGGAGACGCCUGCGGAGAGCCUUGCGUCCUAUUAGCUAGUUGGAGGGGUAACGGCCCACCAAGGCGAAGAUAGGUAGCCGGCCUGAGAGGGUGGUCGGCCACAAGGGGACUGAGAUACGGCCCUUACUCCUACGGGAGGCAGCAGUGGGGAAUAUUGGACAAUGGGGGCAACCCUGAUCCAGCAAUUCCGUGUGCACGAAGACGGUUUUCGGAUUGUAAAGUGCUUUCAGCAGGGAAGAAGGAAGUGACGGUACCUGCAGAAGAAGCGACGGCUAAAUACGUGCCAGCAGCCGCGGUAAUACGUAUGUCGCGAGCGUUAUCCGGAAUUAUUGGGCAUAAAGGGCAUCUAGGCGGCCUUUCAAGUCAGGGGUGAAAACCUGCGGCUCAACCGCAGGCCUGCCUUUGAAACUGAUAGGCUGGAGUACCGGAGAGGUGGACGGAACUGCACGAGUAGAGGUGAAAUUCGUAGAUAUGUGCAGGAAUGCCGAUGAUGAAGAUAGUUCACUGGACGGUAACUGACGCUGAAGUGCGAAAGCCGGGGGAGCAAACAGGAUUAGAUACCCUGGUAGUCCCGGCCGUAAACGAUGAUUACUGGGUGUGGGCAGGAAGACUGUCUGUGCCGAAGCGAAUGCGAUAAGUAAUCCGCCUGGGGAGUACGGCCGCAAGGCUGAAACUCAAAGGAAUUGACGGGGACCCGCACAAGCGGUGGAGCAUGUGGUUUAAUUCGACGCAACGCGAG
rnacentral:rRNA from 1 species